rnacentral:rRNA from 13 species
GCUUGGCUGCCGGAGCGAUGAAGACCGUUGCGGCGGGCGCAAAGACGGGUGCCGCAGC